UGGUUCUCUGGCAAGGCCCUGAAUCAGGAC
rnacentral:piRNA from 1 species